ensembl:snRNA LOC120099437 U7 small nuclear RNA
GAGGGAACAUGGCUCUUUUAGAAUUUUUUUUCUAGCAGCUUUUCUGACUUUGGUUGGAAAACCCAU